rnacentral:rRNA from 1 species
AUUGAACGCUGGCGGCAUGCCUUACACAUGCAAGUCGAACGGCAUCGCGGGAAAGCUUGCUUUCCUGGCGGCGAGUGGCGAACGGGUGAGUAACACAUCGGAACGUACCGGCUAGUGGGGGAUAACCCGUCGAAAGACGGGCUAAUACCGCAUACGCUCUUCGGAGGAAAGCAGGGGACCUUUGGGCCUUGCGCUAGCCGAGCGGCCGAUGUCCGAUUAGCUAGUUGGUGGGGUAAAGGCCUACCAAGGCGACGAUCGGUAGCGGGUCUGAGAGGACGAUCCGCCACACUGGGACUGAGACACGGCCCAGACUCCUACGGGAGGCAGCAGUGGGGAAUCUUGGACAAUGGGGGCAACCCUGAUCCAGCAAUGCCGCGUGGGUGAAGAAGGCCUUCGGGUUGUAAAGCCCUUUCGGCAGGGAAGAAAUCGGCGGGGCGAAUAACCCUGCUGGAUGACGGUACCUGCAGAAGAAGCACCGGCUAACUAC